rnacentral:rRNA from 1 species
CCUACGGGUGGCAGCAGUGAGGAAUAUUGGUCAAUGGGCGUAAGCCUGACCCAGCAAAGCCGCGUGAGGGAUGAAGGUUCUAUGGACCGUAAACCUCUUUUAUAAGGGAAUAAAGUGCGGGACGUGUCCCGUUUUGUAUGUACCUUAUGUAUAAGGAACGGCUAACGCCGUGCCAGCAGCCGCGGGAAUACGGAGGAUCCGAGCGUUAUCCGGAUUUAUUGGGUUUAAAGUGUGCGUAGGCGGCCUUUUAAGUCAGCGGUGAAAGUCUGUGGCUCAACCAUAGAAUUGCCGUUGAAACUGGGAGGCUUGAGUGUGUUAGAGGCAAGCGGAAUGCGUGGGGUAGCGGUGAAAUGCUUAGAUA